rnacentral:rRNA from 1 species
AACUGCUCAGAGGCAAACGGGUGGGCCCUCGAAAUCCGAUCGGGGGGGGAUUCAGUCGGCGGUGGCGAAGUGCGUCGAGCCAGGUCGAGUACCCAACUCAGCUUGGACUCCCGGCUCCGCCGAUGUGCGCCCCGCCGACGCAGUUCCCUCCCCGCCACGGACGCCGCAGCCGGUCGGGAGUCCGCCAUGAGGACGUGCGACGGCAGGUGGCGGGAGGCCGGGUCCGCCCCGCGUCCUCCCGUCGUUAGCCAGCUUGCGUUCCGGUGCGGGACGCCCGACCGAGGCGACGAUGGAACCUCCGGGUUCCGGCCGAGUCCUCGUCUUGAUCGAGCGGGUCGCGAGCUCCAGGGAAUGCCGCGGUACGAGCGGAGCCACCUCGUCCGAGGUGGCCGGCUCCCGCGAUCCGCUUCCCGUUCGGGGCCUGAACCCGCGGUCGACGCUCAACUCAGGCUGGCGGCGAGUAGGUCGGUCACCCACCCGACCCGUCUUGAAACACGGACCAAGGAGUCUAACAUGUGCGCGAGUCGCAGGGUCUUGAACAGGCCCCCGGGCGCAAUGAAAGUGAAGGCGGAGAUUGGCUCCCGCCCCUGGUUGGGAUCCCGACCCCUCGGGGGUAUCGGGCGCACCAACGGCCCGUCCCGUCCGGCUCGUCCGGUGGGCCGGAGCCAGAGCGCACACGUUGGGACCCGAAAGAUGGUGAACUAUGCCUGGGCAGGACGAAGUCAGAGGAAA